CGGGGAACCGGAGCUAAUACCGGAUAAUAUUUUGAACCGCAUGGUUCAAAAGUGAAAGACGGUCUUGCUGUCACUUAUAGAUGGAUCCGCGCUGCAUUAGCUAGUUGGUAAGGUAACGGCUUACCAAGGCAACGAUGCAUAGCCGACCUGAGAGGGUGAUCGGCCACACUGGAACUGAGACACGGUCCAG
rnacentral:rRNA from 1 species